UGAAUACGAGAUGCUACGGCGUCGAAGCAGUCUAUGUCAUACUUCCAAGAAAAGCUCGCACUGUCAUAAACAAAUAAUGCCUGUACCAUAACCGACACAGGUGGGUAGGUAGAGUAUACUAAGGGGCGCGAGAUAACUCUCUCUAAGGAACUCGGCAAAAUGACUCCGUAACUUCGGGAGAAGGAGUGCCUUAUUUAUAAGGUUGCAAUAACAAGAUCCAAGCAACUGUUUAUCAAAAACACAGGUCUCCGCUAAGUCGUAAGACGAUGUAUGGGGGCUGACGCCUGCCCAGUGCCAGAAGGUUAAAGAAGUUGGUUAGCAUUCGCGAAGCUGAUAACUGAAGCCCUGGUGAACGGCGGCCGUAACUAUAACGGUCCUAAGGUAGCGAAAUUCCUUGUCGGGUAAGUUCCGACCCGCACGAAAGGCGUAAUGAUUUGGAUACUGUCUCGGAGAGGGGCUCGGUGAAAUAGACUUGUCUGUGAAGAUGCGGACUACCUGCACCAGGACAGAAAGACCCUAUGAAGCUUUACUGUAACUUGAGAUUGAAAUUGGACUUUACUUGCGCAGUAUAGGUGGGAGGCGUUGAUAAUAUUCUUGCGGGAUUAUUUGAGCCAUCAGUGAGAUACCACUCUUGUAAUGUUAGAUUUCUAACUUUGUAUCAUUAUCUGGUCAAAGGACAGUUUCAGGCGGGCAGUUUGACUGGGGCGGUCGCCUCCUAAACGGUAACGGAGGCGCACAAAGGUUUCCUCUGAACGGGUAGAAAUCGUAUCUAGAGUGUAAAGGCAUAAGGAAGCUUGACUGUGAGACCUACAAGUCGAGCAGGGACGAAAGUCGGUCUUAGUGAUCUGACGGUGCUGAGUGGAAAGGCCGUCACUCAACGGAUAAAAGUUACUCUAAGGAUAACAGGCUGAUCUCCCCCAAGAGUUCACAUCGACGGGGAGGUUUGGCACCUCGAUGUCGGCUCAUCGCAUCCUGGGGCGGUAGUACGUCCCAAGGGUUGGGCUGUUCGCCCAUGAAAGCGGUACGCGAGCUGGGUUCAGAACGUCAUGAGACAGUUCGGUCCAUAUCCGGUGUAGGCGUUAGAAUAUUGAGAGGAGCCUUCUUUAGUACGAGAGGACCGAGAAGGACAUACCUCUGGUGUACCAGUUAUCGUGCCAACGGUAAACGCUGGGUAGCUAUGUAUGGAGUGGAUAACCGCUGAAAGCAUCUAAGUGGGAAGCCCACCUCAAGAUAAGUAUUCUCAUC
rnacentral:rRNA from 1 species